UGUACUUCCGUGUCAGAAUACACAUCAGCUCUACGUCCUAAUUCGUUUGUCAGUGAACCUAUAACGUAAAUUCGUAAGUUAUUUCCCACAAUGUUUUGGUCAGCUUUAUUUUACAUUUUUGGCCUUGCCGUACUAUGGGGCAUUUAUCGCCUCACGUCGAUCACAAAAUGCCGGCUGAUGGAGCACCGAAUGCAACUGAUGGAGCUGGAAACCCAAAUGAUCAGUCUGGAACUUAAGAUGAUGCAGUUCGUUGACAGAACACUCGUUGGACAAAAUCUGAAGCUGCGCGAUCUGGAAAAGAUCAAACAAUCAGUGAAACGUUUCUCCAAAAGUCUUGAGUUCAAUCGUCGCUCGUUUGGUGUCGACUAAAAAAUUUGAGGAUUAAUUUGUUGAAUAAAUUCCAUAUUUAUAAUGUUUUACCAGUUCCCGUAAAGGUCAUAGUACCCUCUGUAAGGGUGUAAAAGAAGAGGGGGAGGCAACAUGCAGGGGGGCGGUUGGGCGUCUCAUACAGAACUGUCCCAGGCAGAACUCUACUAAACGGUCACCCACAAUCAUCGGCGCCCGUACAGCCAAUAGCCGGAGAGGAAACUCCAAAAUAAAGUGCAACGGAAAAACAACAGCAAGAACAACAGAUCCAUAGCCAUCGCCAUCGCCAUCGCAAUGGUCGAUGCGGUCAAGGGGGCGUCCGGAUGUUGGCGUAGGUGCAGCAGGAUGGGAAUCAAGACCUUCGAGGUGGGAGCCCAAGUGAGGCAUAUGGAAUCCAUGGUCCAAGAGGAGCUUUGGCAUAAUUGCACAGAUUCCUUUUUGAUACAUGGAAGAUUGUGAUCGAGAAGAAAGUAUGGCAAUCGCAGGGAUAUUCAAUCAAAGGAACGAAAGAAGUAUUAAUUAAAGAGGUUCCAAAUUGAUAUAUGUAGUUCGCAAUUAUAAGAGCAUUUCCACAGCCAGCUACAGCCAGACCCAAACACCAAGGCUGCGUCCAGCAGGACAAACAAUAUGUUGAGAACGGGGCAGAACAGAAGUUGGUUACAUUUCUCGAAUCGGUUGGAUUU